UCUAAUUCUUUUUCAUCCCGUACUGCAAGUCUAUGCUUCAAGUCAAGGAAAGCUGAGGAUUUCGGAACAGUCAGUUUCGAUUUGAUAAAGGAUGAGAAACACUGGGAUCAGGAGGAGACAUUUAGUUCCGUUUUGUCUCUCAACGAGGAAGGCUGAAGAGACUGUGACUCACUGUCAGAUGUCUGCGACUGGGUGAUGAUCCUGGAGCGACUCUGGACUCCUUUAAAAUCCCCUCAGCCAUUUCAUGUUUACUGAAAGGAGUUUUAAUUUGCUGAGGUUUUAGAUGAAACCCUAAGAGAGCUGACACGAGAGGCAUAAUCACACUGACAUUUUUGGAGAUGUUAAGCCUGCAGAAGAUGCGUGAGCAAUCAAUGUUCAUUCAUUUCAUCACUGCAGCAUUGUUCAGAAGUGCAACAAAUUCACUUCCAUAUAGCUAAAAUGGAAUCACGCACAUUAUAGAGGAUACAUUUUGAAAAAGGGAAUUUAACACUGCUCCCAAUUUGCCCUUUUGGAUAGAAAAUCAUUUAAUUUACAGGCUAUAAACAGGGAACCUACUAUAUCUGCCCUGUUUUAGCACUACAAAUAAUAAACAAUUACAAAACGUUUUUUUCAGUUAGGUUAUUUGAAGCUUCUUUUUUAUACUUUUUAAGGUUAAUUUAACAAUCAGAUACCGUUUAAAGCAAUCAAUAUUAUAUAGAAAGGGUUUGUGCUCUCAUUUCAGUCCUUUGGAUUAAAACAGAGGUGUGCAUAUUUGGAACUGAAUUAAAAUGUAUAUCACUU